AACGAACGCUGGCGGCAUGCCUAACACAUGCCAGUCGAACGAGACCUUCGGGUCUAGUGGCGCAUGGGUGCGUAACGCGUGGGAACCUGCCCUUAGGUUCGGAAUAACUCCCCGAAAGGGGUGCUAAUACCGGAUAAUGUCUUCGGACCAAAGAUUUAUCGCCUUUGGAUGGGCCCGCGUUGGAUUAGCUAGUUGGUAGGGUAAAAGCCUACCAAGGCGACGAUCCAUAGCUGGUCUGAGAGGAUGAUCAGCCACACUGGGACUGAGACACGGCCCAGACUCCUACGGGAGGCAGCAGUGGGGAAUAUUGGACAAUGGGCGAAAGCCUGAUCCAGCAAUGCCGCGUGAGUGAUGAAGGCCUUAGGGUUGUAAAGCUCUUUUACCCGGGAUGAUAAUGACAGUACCGGGAGAAUAAGCUCCGGCUAACUCCGUGC
rnacentral:rRNA from 1 species